rnacentral:rRNA from 1 species
GCUCAGAUUGAACGCUGGCGGUAUGCCUUACACAUGCAAGUCGAACGGUAGAGGAGCAAUCCUCGAGAGUGGCGAACGGGUGAGUAAUACAUCGGAACGUGCCCAGUCGUGGGGGAUAACGUAGCGAAAGCUACGCUAAUACCGCAUACGACCCGAGGGUGAAAGCGGGGGACUCGCAAGAGCCUCGCGCGAUUGGAGCGGCCGAUGGCAGAUUAGGUAGUUGGUGGGGUAAAGGCCCACCAAGCCUGCGAUCUGUAGCUGGUCUGAGAGGACGACCAGCCACACUGGGACUGAGACACGGCCCAGACUCCUACGGGAGGCAGCAGUGGGGAAUUUUGGACAAUGGGCGAAAGCCUGAUCCAGCCAUACCGCGUGCGGGAAGAAGGCCUUCGGGUUGUAAACCGCUUUUGUCAGGGAAGAAAUACUUCGGGCUAAUACCCUGGGGUGAUGACGGUACCUGAAGAAUAAGCACCGGCUAACUACGUGCCAGCAGCCGCGGUAAUACGUAGGGUGCAAGCGUUAAUCGGAAUUACUGGGCGUAAAGCGUGCGCAGGCGGUUCUAUAAGACAGAUGUGAAAUCCCCGGGCUCAACCUGGGAACUGCAUUUGUGACUGUAGAGCUAGAGUACGGUAGAGGGGGGAUGGAAAUUCGCGUGUAGCAGUGAAAUGCGUAGAUAUGCGGAGGAACACCGAUGGCGAAGGCAAUCCCCUGGACCUGUACUGACGCUCAUGCACGA